AGUUCACGUUUUUAUUAGGAAAAUCAUUUUGCAGAUUUGAUUAUUAUUAUUAUCAUCUAUAUAUAUAUUUAUAUAUGUUAUUUUCAGUUAUUCAGAGGAUGCAUCAGCACAGUAUAUCUUAAUAGGAAGACUAUUGCUAGAAUAAAUAUCUAUACAUCAUAGUUAAUAAAAUAAAAAAAAAUGUCCCAACAGAAAAAUAAAACAGUAGAAUAAUAUACAAAAAACAAUAAGUGCUUAAAUGAAAUGAACCAUUUGCAAAAACUGAAGCGGUAAAUUUUGCUGAGGAAUUUAUUUAAAAAAUACAAAGAUGAUUCACAGUUUGUGUCCUUGUUCUCAUGCUGGCUGGAACACCAAUAGGGACCAUGCAGGAAUGAAGGGCCAGAGCGACAGGAUAGUACCAAACUACAUUAUCCACAAAGUCUAUAUGCCCCACUUUACGCCGCAUCGUCCACACAAGAACAGCUUGUGAGGAUCUGAGGCGAUCAGAGCAGAUGUAAAGGGGUGAGCUGGAGAGGUCAAUGGGUCAGUUUUCAUUCAUCCUCAAACACUGAUUCCCUUUAGAUCCUCUGCCUCUGAGCUUGGCUCUGCUGGACUGUAACCUGCCCUCGUUGGUACAGAUGAGUUGACGGGGUGUACCAGUAAGACAAGAAAACCACAACCUUCGCUUGUGUGUUUCGUUCUUACUCACUGCCCUUUUCAUGGCGUCUCAGGGUCAUGUUUGUCAUCCUGCUAUUGAAGAACAUGAGUGAAUCACGCGAACUCUGCUGUACAACACUCGGUGACUAAGGAGUCACUCGCCUGGUUGGAAUUUAGAUUUAGUGACAAUGCUAUCUACGUAGACAGCCCACAGUGUUCAAUAUUAAAUACAUAGAUGUUACUUUUUGGGAAAAACAAGAUGAGUCACAUUGCGAAACAGCAUCUUUAAACCAUUGACUGUAGAUCAUUUAUGGACCAAAAUAAAGACGUUUAAAGCAAUCGUAACUGUCCAACUGAGAUUUCGACUUUUUCAAGCAUUUUUUCAGGGAUUUUUACGUUAAUAGCGCUACUUUUAUGUAAUUGGCUGCUGCUUUCGUCUGAUUAAGUCGACAGUCAAUCAUCAAACUAGCUCUGGUCUGUUUUAAAAGACAUCGUAGAAUAAAACCAGACAUAAACAAUCAUUUAUGAAUUAAAUAAACAAUCAAUCUUACUAACCGGGUGAAAACGGCUUUUUUAGAGUGCAAAAUAAUGAAUUAUUCCACUUUUUCUCUCCAAGUAGGCAAAUCAUUUUUCCUAAAACAAAGACUUAUUAUUUCAUCUAAUAUUGAACACUUUAGGCUCCCGUAGAUUCGAACAUCAAAAGUCAGUUUUGCAUUUUUUCAAGCAGCAAAAACAUCAAAUUCUUUGGAAAAAUCGUUCUAAAAUUGCUUCGACAGCUUUUGAAGUCGGCGCCAAACUUGCACCCUUCGCUGUGUCGUCACUAAUCGGACACUUUUUAGUUUAUUAGAAGAAACUCGCAGGUGACAGCACCCUCCCACCUCUGCGUCCUUCCCUCUGCACGCUCUCUCCCUCUCUCUCUCAUCUCUGAAAUAUGAAGUCCUUUACACACUAUUUACAACUAUCUACAAUCAGAUGUGAGCCGCCUCCAGUCUGUUCGAGAGCAACCGACUCACAAACACACACACGGAAAAAACAAACGAACAAAAUAAAUAAAAAAUAAAUAAAACGGACGUGGUUGAAUAUGAAAGCCACUCCAAAUUUAAAGGGGGGGUGGAUGGCUGAUACAUGAAAGGUAAAGGCGAACAGUGGAGUAAGAAAAAAAAAACUGCGCAGAGCAGAGCAAACUCGCCGGUGAGAGAAUGAGGCCUGUGUAGUAUGUGUGUUAGUGUGUGUUUGUGUGUAGCUAAAGGCAUGCAGUCUGUCUAUUUAGCCGCCAUGCCUGUUUGAUAGUGUGUGUACGUGUGUGUGUGUGUGUGUGUGUGUAUAGGAGUGUGUUUGAGGAGUGGGCGAUGACUCAUGCAGAAAUGUGUAGGCAUUCUCCGCAGGAAAGCUGCAAACAUUUGACAGACAUCUUAAAGGAGGGCACUAACAUACACACAGACACACACAGACACACACACACUCGUGCAGGCUGGAAUGGAGUGAUGCAAAUAGGUGGCUGAUUCUGCACAAAUAUGGAUGCACUCAUGGUCACAUGCACACAGACAGCAGCAGCAUUGAAAAACAAGAAGAGACUAGCGCUAAGUGGACGGGCAGAGGUGUCUAUCCUACACACACACACUCUCCUAUACUCCUCCUCCCAGCAUGCAAACAUUAUCUAAAUCCUACCCGGGCUUCUGUUUGUGCAGUUACACCUCAUACUUUCACACCGUUUCUAAUAAUAGCACAACUCCCUCUCCCUCUCGCCCCAGCUUGUUGUCCACGCUGCACGUUGUCUCAUUGCUUUUUUUUCCCUCCCCUCUGCUGUAUCAGAUUUCACACAGGAACACGGACGACGGCAGUCUCCUGAACAACACAUUGCACAAACAUGCGCUCGCAAUCUGGCGUUCGCUUGCGUGAAGCGGGCCGGGCUUAUAUUUAUGCAACGGGUGCACCACCGCUGCUGCAGGUAGCUUCCACAUCAGAUCAGGGCAGAGCUGCCUGAUACAUGUUCCAGCUUCAGAUGGACACAUUAGGUAGAUCGAUGAUAGAAUUCACUCCCUAACUUUAUAUUUUCAUAUUUCUACAAAUGAUAGGUGUAAAUGAAAGAGUCUGAGUGUGCAUCCCUGGCGUCUAACAGGUAAAGGGUACGUUUACAAUGCACAUUUUUGAGUUUAACAGGACCUCACAUUAGUGCAAAGUACAACACGUCAAUAACGACAGAUUCAUUCAGCAAAAUCGAAAAUAAAAAAAAAAACAGCCAUGGAGCGAAAACCUUAAGUUACAUAUUCACAUUUUGCUAUUAUUAUCUGAUAGAUCCGAGUUGUGGUCGUGUCAAAUACACUUACAUAUAUCAUGAGCAACAUUAUUAGCUGUGUAUUACAGUACAUUGCAACACCAAACCUCCUACUGUAACAUCAGGACUCUUUCCAAGGUAUAGUUUUUUUUCUUUACAUGGGUAACAUCUUACUUGAAGCUUUUAGAAACAGCGAAUUCCACUAUCGUAUGCUUAUUUACAAAAACUGCACUUCUUUACGUGUGUGUGUGGGGGUGUGAACACUGCAACAAAAGGUUUCAGAAUGAAGUAUGAAGCAAGCCUUCAAGUAAAAUGUCACCCUAAAGUGCCCAGUUGUUGAUUCUGCUGCACAUGACAAACAGACAAAGAGACGGAUGAAAUCAGUUGCUGUGCUUUUUUUUUUUUUUUUUAAAGUUUCUAAAGAGGUGGAUACACACUUAAAAGAGGGGCAUCAUCUGUGUCUUUGGGUUUUAAAACAGCACAGGAGCAGAUUAUCCUCCACCCGAAUUGUAGUUAAAACCGCCUGAGAGAUGGAGACAAAUAAUCUGACUCUUCCUCUGCUGCCUCCUAAUGUACCAUCUACAAUCCUGUAAGGGGACGGGGUGGCGUCAGGUCACAUUUACACACUUCACAUCCGCGGAUAAGCCGUCACAUCACGAUACCCUGUUUGCUCAGCAGAAUCACAACCUCAUUGUGCCACAAACUGGACAAAUAAAACAUUUAACAAGGAGACGGACGGAGAGCCACCUGUGAGCGUGAUGGGGUUGUUCGUCCGUUUUCAGCACUAGUUGAUGAAUGUUGAAGGUGAAAAUCGCAAACAAUAUACAAAAAGGAACAAAGAAACAAUACAAAUAGAUAUGUUGUUAAAAAAGAAUUGUGCUUUUGGUUGUCCUGUGUACACUGUGUACAAUUUUUCUGAGCUCCUGCGUGACAAAAAAUCCGAGCUAUUCUGUGGAAACAGGAGGAUGUUUGAUUUUAAACGGAUGUAAAGUAGGCAAACAAGGAUAAAUUACUGCUGUGUGUGUGAGUGUGUGUGUAUGUGUGUGGGUGUGGUUAUGAUAUAAAGUGCAAUGUGAGGGCAUUUAGGCUGACUGAGCCCUGUGUGUCUUCAUGUUACUCAAAUUAACCUUUACUGUUUUUCUGACUCUUGCAUUAAUGCAUCAGUCCGCAUGCAGUGUGUGUGUGUGUGUGUGCAAGUAAAUGCAAAUGUGUGUGUGUCUGCAUGAGCGUUCAAGAGGAAAAUCGACCAAAACAACAUACAACCUAGAAAAAAUACAGAUUCAGGUUGCGUGGAGCGUAUUUGACAUCCAUCCCGUUGUUUCUCUUUACUCGUGUGCUUUUUGUUUAAGGUGUUUUUUUUGUCUUCUUUUACAUGGAUUCAAACAGCAAUGCUAGGCAAACGAGAAAAAAGGCAAAAGAAAGAAACGUGUGAUAAUGAAAAGUGCCAAAGCAAAUAGACAUUCUCGAUCUCAGAACAGAAAAAAAGUCAUCCCAGUUCUCUUCCCGUGUACCAGCUUGGCGAUGAUUAUCCGAGUGUAUCGUCCUGGUUGGACAAGGCAGACUUGUUUCCCGAGCUUUUCGUGAGCUUCUUUUUGUUCCAGAGUUAUUCUACACUAAACGAGAGUCUUUAAAAGGACUGUUGCGUUGAAUCUGUAGCUUCAUUUCGACAGUUUGCAGAUGGGGUUCGAGCGUAUUGACAGCUAUAGGCAAUUCAGGGCCUUUUUUUUAUUUUUCAGAAGAGAAGAGAAAAUUUGUCCUCAAGCCACAAACUUCAGCUUAACUCCCGUGAGCUUCGACCCUUUCUUUGAUUGAUUAAGUAGUUUGGGUGGGGCGUGUGUAGACCAGUUGGAAUAUAUUGAAAUAUCCCAUAUUUAUAUACAUCAGAGUCCUCAGCUGAGUCGUAUGUUUUUGCUGCUGUAAUGUGUGCCGCUCAUGCUAGCAGUCUCAAACCCUCGGGGUUUUGUGUGCUUUCGAGCUCGAUGGACACAUCAGUCUUUAAAAGAGUGUUUCUACCAGAUAGGUGAGCUUAAAUUACACACACGCACGCACACACACACACACACACACACACGCAC